rnacentral:rRNA from 1 species
GACGAACGCUGGCGGCGUGCUUAACACAUGCAAGUCGAACGGAAAGGUCCUGCUUUUGUGGGGUGCUCGAGUGGCGAACGGGUGAGUAACACGUGAGUAACCUGCCCUUGACUUUGGGAUAACUUCAGGAAACUGGGGCUAAUACCGGAUAGGAGCUCCUGCUGCAUGGUGGGGGUUGGAAAGUUUCGGCGGUUGGGGAUGGACUCGCGGCUUAUCAGCUUGUUGGUGGGGUAGUGGCUUACCAAGGCUUUGACGGGUAGCCGGCCUGAGAGGGUGACCGGCCACAUUGGGACUGAGAUACGGCCCAGACUCCUACGGGAGGCAGCAGUGGGGAAUAUUGCACAAUGGGCGGAAGCCUGAUGCAGCAACGCCGCGUGCGGGAUGACGGCCUUCGGGUUGUAAACCGCCUUCGCCUGUGACGAAGCGUGAGUGACGGUAAUGGGUAAAGAAGCACCGGCUAACUACGUG